AGCUCCAAUAGCGUAUAUUAAAGUUGUUGCAGUUAAAAAGCUCGUAGUUGGAUCUCAGGCGCCGGCGGACGGUCCCUUUAACGAGGGCUACUGUCCGCUCCGGCCCUACCCGCCGGUGUGUCGAGGGUGCUCUUGACUGAGUGCCCCCGGCGGCCGGAACGUUUACUUUGAAAAAAUUAGAGUGUUCAAAGCAGGCAUUCAUCGUGCCCGAAUACAUGAGCAUGGAAUAAUGGAACAGGACUACGGUCACUGCACUUUUUCCGUUGGUUUCGGAGGACCGAAGUAAUGAUUAAGAGGGACAGUUGGGGGCAUCCGUAUUUCGUAGUCAGAGGUGAAAUUCUUGGAUCUGCGAAAGACGAACGAGUGCGAAAGCAUUUGCCAAGAGUGUUUUCAUUAAUCA
rnacentral:rRNA from 1 species